rnacentral:tRNA from 6 species
GGGGCUGUAGCUCAAUGGUGGAGCAGGGGACUCAUAAUCCCUUGGUUCUCGGUUCGAGUCCGGGCGGCCCUACCA